rnacentral:rRNA from 1 species
UACGUAGGGCGCAAGCGUUAUCCGGAAUUAUUGGGCGUAAAGAGCUCGUAGGCGGCUGUUCAAGUCGAACGUGAAAACUCGGAGCUCAACUCCGAGCCUGCGUUCGAUACUGGACGGCUAGAGUCUGGUAGGGGGAUCUGGAAUUCCUGGUGUAGCGGUGGAAUGCGCAGAUAUCAGGAGGAACACCGGUGGCGAAGGCGGGAUCCUGGGCCAUAACUGACGCUGAGAAGCGAAAGCAUGGGGAGCGAACAGG